CUGAGCUCAGUUGGCAACAACCGAUUUUUAUGGUAGUAGGAGCUUGUGGAGUAGGAGAAAGAAAGCUACCAGGACUGAUACAUUUCCAUGUCCACUGAAGGGAACGAUGAAAAAAAGGUGUAUUUCUGCGAGAAUGUUCAAGAAAAGGAAGGACAUGCUGCAGAAGAUGAUGUUCAGGAGUUACUUCAUCAGCCCAUUAGGAUACAGGGAGCCCUUUCUGCGUCACCUGCCUGCGCUUGGGACAGGAGCUCGGGGCACACAGUAGCUCAUCGCCUGCAAACUACUUGUCAGAGGACAGCUCUAAUAUGUUGCUGGACCAACUUCAACGAUU